rnacentral:lncRNA from 1 species
CCUAAGCCCUAAACCCUAAACCCUAAACCCUAAGCCCUAAAACCCUAAGCCCUAAACCCUAAGCCCUAAGCCCUAAGCCCUAAACCCUAAAACCAUAAGCCCUAAGCCCUAAGCCCUAAGCCCUAAGCCCUAAACCCUAAAACCCUAAAACCCUAAACCCUAAACCCUAAACCCUAAAACCCUAAACCCUAAACCCCUAAACCCUAAAACCCUAAAACCUAAACCCUAAACCCACAUCAAUUGCAUUAAUCAGGAAAUGUAAUUAAUCUUAACCGAGAUGU